GACGAACGCUGGCGGCGCGCUUAACACAUGCAAGUCGAGCGAAGCGGCGGACGGGUGAGUAACACGUGAGUAACCUGCCUUAGACAUUGGGAUAGCCUCGGGCAACCGGGAUUAAUACCAAAUGGUCUAAGAUGUACUCGCGUCCCAUUCGCUCGUUGGUGAGGUAACGGCCCACCAAGGCGACAAUGGGUAGCCGGCGUGAGAGGGGGAACCGCCACAUUUGAACGAGGAAACGGUCCAAACUCUACGGGAGGCAGCAGUGGGGAAUAUUGCACAAUGGAGGGAACUCUGAUGCAGCGACGCCGCGUGAACGAAGAAGGCUUUCGAGUCGUAAAGUUCUUUUAUAUGGGAAGCGGUACCAUAAGAAAAAGCCCCGGCUAACUACGUGCCAGCAGCCGCGGUAAUAC
rnacentral:rRNA from 1 species